rnacentral:tRNA from 1 species
GGUUAGUUAGCAUAACUGGUAAUGUAUUGGUCUGCAAAGCUUAAAAAUGUAUGUUCGAGUCAUACACUAACCU